GAUCAUGGCUCAGAACGAACGCUGGUGGCGUGUCUAUACAUGCAAGUCGAGCGAGGCAGCAAUGCCGAGCGGCGAACGGGUGAGUAACGCGUAAGCAAUCUGCCCCAUAUCAGGAAAUACCCGUGCCAACGCGCGGUUAAUGUCCAGGAGAGUGGCCUUCCGCAUGGAAGGGUUGACUAGAGAUUUAUCGGUAUGGGAUGAGCUUGCGUCCGAUUAGCUAGUUGGCGGGGCAACGGCCCACCAAGGCGACGAUCGGUAGCCGGCCUGAGAGGGUGAUCGGCCACAUUGGGACUGAGAUACGGCCCAGACUCCUACGGGAGGCAGCAGGUAGGGAAUAUUGCACAAUGGGGGAAAACCCUGAUGCAGCAACGCCAACGUGUGGGAAGAAGCAUUUCGGUGUGUAAACCACUGUCAUGAGGGAAUAAGGCCCGUCUUCGGACGGACUUGAAUGUACCUUGAGAGGAAGCACCGGCAAACUUCGUGCCAGCCGCCGC
rnacentral:rRNA from 1 species